AACGAACGCUGGCGGCAUGCCUAACACAUGCAAGUCGAACGAGACCUUCGGGUCUAGUGGCGCACGGGUGCGUAACGCGUGGGAACCUGCCCUUAGGUUCGGAAUAACUCCCCGAAAGGGGUGAUAAUACCGGAUAAUGUCUUCGGACCAAUGAUUUAUCGACUUUGAAUGGGCCGGCGUUGGAUUAGCUAGUUGUUAGGGUAAAAGCCUAUCAAGGCGACGAUCCAUAGCUGGUCACAGAGGAUGAUCAGCAACACUGGGACUGAGACACGGCCCAGACUCCUACGGGAUGCAGCAGUGGGGAAUAUAGGAACAUGGGCGAAAGCCUGAUCCAGCAAGGCCGCGUGAGUGAUGAAAGUCUUAGGGUUGUAAAGCUCUAUUACCCGGGAUGAUAAUGACAGUACCGGGUGAAUAAGCUACGGCUAACUCCGUG
rnacentral:rRNA from 1 species